UACGUAGGGUGCGAGCGUUGUCCGGAAAUACUGGGCGUAAGCGCACGUAGGCGGCGCAGCAAGUCAGGGGUGAAAUCCCCGGGGCUCAACCUCGGAACUGCCCUUGAAACUGCAGUGCUAGAAUCUUGGAGAGGCGAGUGGAAUUCCGAGUGUAGAGGUGAAAUUCGUAGAUAUUCGGAAGAACACCAGUGGCGAAGGCGACUCGCUGGACAAGUAUUGACGCUGAGGUGCGAAAGCGUGGGGAGCAAACAGG
rnacentral:rRNA from 1 species